ensembl:lncRNA
UAAACCUUUAAUGGAGAUUAUUUUAAUAAUCUAUAAGCAUCUCCCCACAUAUCACAUAUUAAGUACAAAGAGAAAAGCAUUCUUUGCAGUGGAGAAACGUGGAAAACACCACCUUAAUCAGGUGGCUAAGUUACCAUCACCAGCAACAGGAUAGUCCCAUCAAACAUCCCUUCGUAUACUGCCUGAAGAGAAAUCAAUGUCCAAAUCCAUAAAUAGGAAGUUCCUUUGUCGUGCAGCAGGUUUAAGUCUCCGGCAUUAACCACAGCUGCGGUGCUCGUUGCAACUGGGUUCAAUCCCUGGCCCAGGAAUUUCCACAUGGCAGCGGCAAGGUAAAAAAAAUCAAAACCAAAAACAUAAAUGUCAAGAUGUCUAUUCUGAACCUAACAGAACGAGAAAGGCUAUGGGUUUGGAGCUGAAAUAAAGAGAGGCAGAGAGUCUGGAGCAUUGAGGCUUCAAGUAGGUUUACUGACCAGACAAUGGCCAGGAGCACUGAGAGAAGGCUCAGCUCCUGGGCAUUAAGGGGAUAGUAGGUUUCAUAGGGGCUUGUGGCUGAAGUAACAUGUCAAGGUCAGCAUCAGGCUACAUGGGAGGGGUAGGAGUGGAGGAUGAGAAAGUCCCAAGGAAGGGUCAUGAGAAGGGCAGGAGGAAAGCGUGAGAAUGUUCCAAGACAGGGUGUGGGUUGAAGAUGAACCAAGUCAAAAUGUAGGACAAUCACCGUCCAUAGGGUCGGUUCUUGGCAAGAGAAGGGGGUCGGUGGUUUGAGCAGUUUAAUCUGGCUCUAAAACGAAUCCCAAGGAACCAUUUCACAAACUCAAACUGAAUAAUGCAAUUCGUCACAUUACCAGAUAAGAAAAACAGUACUUAAAAAAUUUAAGAGGGGAGUUUCCAUCGUGGCGCAGUGGUUAAGGAAUCUGACUAUGAACCAUGAGGUUGCAGGUUUGAUCCCUGGCCCUGCUCAGUGGGUUAAAGAUCUGGUGUUGACGUGAGCUGUGGUGUAGGUCACAGACACAGCUCGGAUGUGUCGUUGCCGUGGCUCUGGCGUUGGCUGGUAGCUCCAGCUCCAAUUGGACCCCUAGCCUGGGAGCCUCCAUAUGCCUUGGAUGCAGCCCUAGAAAAGACAAAAAAGACAAUAAAAAAAAAAUUAAGAGAAUACUAGACACAAAGCAGAAUAGGAAUGCAAAAAUUGUUGAAUAGAUCAUCCGUUUUAUAAACCAAGGGCCUCCAAAGAACUUAAUGUGCCCCAUUAGAACCAACCAAAUGCAGUGAACAGUGUGGCAGGAUCACCUUGAGUUAUUAUGCAAAUAGGAACUUGUUAUCUUUGUCUGUCCAAUACUUAAGCCCCAUCCAGGAAGCAAUCAGAAACCAAGGAUAGCAGGGUGGGUGAUGAGAAAGAGGACUGGAAGGCAGUAGCCAUCAUGUCUUCUCUCCUCAUCUGCAUCUUAGCCGCCUCCCAACCAGGCCUGAGCUAAAGGAGGAAAGUCCCACCUGUCAUCAAUGCUUAAGGCUCUGCUUUCUACACUGGAUUCAGAGCCAGGGCAUAGAGUCUGCCUAUGAUUUCAUCCCAAGUCAAAGUACUUGUUUCACCAAAGUGAAGGGGACAGUGUCAGAUAGUCAAUCUGCCUUGUCACCCCCACGGUGUGACUACUCAUUACAAUUCGCAUACUUCAUCCCAACCCCACCAUAGCUGGGAAUUGGCAUGCAACCCCCUAGGUUCUACCAGGUACCACCUGAACACUGCAGACGGAAUACGUGAGCAUAACGGGGUGACGGCAGCCUAUGAAGGUUCUCCUGAGGCAGCUAUGGACGUUGACAGCUUCCAUUCCCUAGAACGCUAGGUGAUGUGCAGUAGGUGUGUGGCAGGAGCAGUUUUUCUUAAACACAGCGCUGGUCAAGUACUGUUCAAGGAACAGUAUAUCUGAGACUUUAUCGUCAUAGCGGUGGUGUUUCUAGGCCUUUAUCCUUACUACUUUUUUCUGGAUUGUGCAGCCAAAAGGCCUAAUUCCUUGGCCUUUUGAAAACUCUUCAAAUUAGGAAAUACCCUUUAUUAAAUCCCUUGCUUAAAAUAGAAUGGAUUUUAUCUGCAAUUGUUUUUUCUCUAUUUUACCAGUAGAGACAUCAAUAAAUAAUUGCCUAAAAAUACAACAGAGCAGGUGAAAGAAAUCAGUAUAGUUCCAGAUCCUACAUACAAUCAACGAAGAAAAUUAUAAUCUGUAUGUGUCACUGCAUGUGACUGAGGUGGUAUCAGUAAUAAGCGUUUUUAUGUGUACAUCUUAAAUACUGGUUUUAUACGUACUAAGUGCCCUAUGUUAUUGCUCCUACAGACCCAAGGAGAAGGGCAGGACUGAAGGGAAAAGACUUCACCUAUUUCUGAGAUGAUCUGCUUUUACAAAAUUAUAAUCAAAAAGAAGAUACCUAAUAACUAGGCAGCACUUAACACAGCUGCAAAUGUUCUGUAUUUUAUUUAGUCAAUACGAUUUAAAAGUAUAAAAUAGAAGCUUGAGAAAAUCAAAGAGACAAUUGGGAACAAAACCAGAAAACUAGGGUAUCACACAGCAAAAAGAGAAUUUAAAACAGGGGUCAGCAAUAACCUGUAGGCUAAAUGGGGCCUAUUGUUUUUGCGAAUAGUUUUAUUGGAAUACAGCCACGCCCACUUGCUUACAGGUUAGAUUUCUCAACUUCAGCACUACUGACUUUCUUGACCAGAUUAAUUCAGUUGGGAGAGGGAGGUGGGAUGGGUAAGAUGUUUAGUAGCACCCCAGAUGCCAGCAGCACUCCUCUUCGUGGUGAUAACCAAAAAUGUCCCUGGACUUGGCCAAAUGUCUCCUGAGGUUGCGGGUAGGGAAGGCAAAAUUACCUUUGGCUGAGAACUGCUGGUUCAU